rnacentral:rRNA from 1 species
AAUCAACGCUGGCGGCGUGCCUAACACAUGCAAGUCGAGCGAGAGGGGGUAGCAAUACCCUAGUAAAGCGGCGCACGGGUGAGUAACACGUGGGUAAUCUGCCUCGAAGCGGGGAAUAACACCGGGAAACCGGUGCUAAUACCGCAUAAUCUGGCGAAGUCUGCGGAUUUUGUCAGCAAAGGAGCAAUUCGCUUUGAGAGGAGCCCGCGGCUGAUUAGCUAGUUGGUGAGGUAAUGGCUCACCAAGGCUACGAUCAGUAGCCGGUCUGAGAGGACGGUCGGCCACACUGGAACUGAGACACGGUCCAGACUCCUACGGGAGGCAGCAGUGGGGAAUUUUUGGCAAUGGGGUCAACCCUGACCAAGCAACGCCGCGUGGGUGAUGAAGUCUCUUGGGACGUAAAACCCUUUCGACGGGGACGAAACCGCAAGGUUGACGGUACCCGUAGAAGAAGCCCCGGCUAACUCCGUGCCAGCCGCCGCGGUAAUAC